AUAAAUAAAUUGUAAAUAAAAAAUAAUAUUAAUUAAAAUCAAAUUACAUUUUAAAAGGUCACUAACUAAAGUACAUGAACUUACAAAUAAAUUGUAAAUAAAAAAGAAAGGAAGGAGUUAAAUGAAAUUUAACAUUUCAAAAGACAAAAUUGGUGGUAUCUUGCAACUUUUGCAAGGUAGCUAGAUCCCACAUUUUAAGUUCACUAAGAAGCUUCACUAUUUUGGUUUUUAAAUAAGAAAAAAGUUAUAAACGAAAAAGAAAAAAAGGAAAGCAAAAAAUUACAAGCUAAGUAACCAAAUGAUGCUUGGAUAACUUCCAAGUAAAUUUGAAAAGAUUAUUUCGAAUAGAAGCAAUCGAACAAUCCCACAAGAUAGUCUUAAGUUCACUACAGCAGUUGUAGUUUGAAAGAUAUAGCACCUCAAUUCCUAACAAGACUUAUAUUUUCUCUUAUUAAAUACGAUAACGCUUAAAAGCAACCAUUUAAUAAAUGAUAAAUCAUGUAUUAUAAAUUGACCGGCGUGAAUAGUAAAUUUGUUUAUGAGACAUAAGAGCCGCAAAACAAUUACUCUGAGACAGUAUUCACCCUCAUCAAUCAUUUCAAAAACCAAGGUUUGAUUAGAUUAAAAGAAUAAUAAAAGAGUAUUUAAGUGCCAAUAUUUAUUUAGGGCCAGAUUGAUAAUGUUUUAUGUUUCAAAAUAAUUGAUAUUAGUUGUACUGUGUAAAUAAUUAGCUGUGAAGAUAAUCAGUU
rnacentral:lncRNA from 1 species